GUUGCCUUGUAAAUUGAAGAAUGAAGCAGAGGAUAAUGAACAUAUUGAAAUGAUUCCACAUGUUUUAUGCAUGACACAUUUGUAAUUAAAACGGAUCCUGAAGCUACUCCCACUAAGUGCUCGGUACUGGGCUAGGACAUGCUGCUCACUAUUGUGAGUGAUCGCAGCAACUCAGUUUUGAAUAUUUAUAUAUGUUGAGGUGAAGGAUCUUCCUUGACUACAUCUGAGGAGUUGUGGAAUCCUCAGAAGUAAGUCCUUCUAACAACACACUACAGUAUGAUGCGUUUCUGAUCCAAGCUGCUGUGAAUCCAUGUCAGGAGAAACCUUCAGUUGUGUUUUAAUAAAUGAAAACACAGUAGGGCUGAGAAAUCUGCAGCUACCUGGAAAAAUAAACUCCUUCCCCCUUGGAAACUGCUAAUUUCUUAAAUAUCCACAUUUGCAUUUAGUUUUGGGAAUUUAUAUUGUUUCAAUAAAAAUGAGCAUAUUUGGUUUUGGCUUUGUUCUGUGUUAUAUCCUUACCAUCUAACUCAAAAAGGGACCUCCCACUUACUA
rnacentral:lncRNA from 1 species